CCAGUGCACAUCUAUAAUCCCAGCACUGUGGGAGGAUGUCAGAAGGAUCACAAGUUUGAGCCCACUCUAGGGACCUAAGGUGACUUAGCAAGACCUUGGGUUCAAUCCUCAGCAAAAAAAGAGAAAAAGGCACUGUAAACACAAAGUCACAGACUGGGAAUAAAAACCAUCUGAUGAACUUUUUUUUGGUCUUUUUUGAGACUGAGUCUUGCUAUGUAGUUCAGGCUGGCUUUGAGCCCAGGCUGGUCUUAAACUCUCAUUGAUUCUCCUGCCUCAGCCUCCUGAGUGCUGGGAUUACAGGCGUGCACCACUGUACCCAGCUCUGAUAAAGAACUUCUAUUCAAAAUACAUAAAGAACUCACAACUCAACAGGAAAAGAAGCCUUUUUUGAAAACAAGCAAAAGAUCUAAACAUAGUUCAUUAACAGCAAAUAAACACAAAAGCAGUUGCUCAAUUAGACAAAUGCAAAUCACACCAGGAAGAAGGCAUCACGAUGCACCGACUGGAAUGGCUGAAGUUUUUGGAGAAAUGACAGCAUGAGAAGUGUCAGGGAGGCUGCAUAUCAACCGGACUCUCGCACACUACUGAGGUCAAUGCAGAACAGCCCGACCGCUCCAGCAAAGGACUCAGCAGCCCUUCUCUACAGGUAAAGGUAUCUCCUAGGUCCCCACUCCUGUGUACCAGGGAAACAAAAGCUUACAUCCCCACAAACAUCUUUUCACAAAUGUUACAGCAGUUUUAUUUGUAACUAUCUUAACCCUAAGUGACCCGAAUGUCCCUCAGCCAGGAGCGGAUAAGCCUGUUUACAUAACCGAGGACAGUUACAUAACAGAGCAGAACUGAGCAAUGAAAAGGGACAUCUCGCUGGUCUGUGUGACAACGCUGAGUGACCCUCAAGCGUCCCACGCUAGGCUAAAAAGAAGGAAACCAUAAAGCACAAAGCAAAUGGAAACCACUAUGAAAAUGCCACGUCUGUCCCCGCCAGGAGCGAUGACCUUUUCCAGACCACUACAACCGGGUCUCACCACCUGCACCUCUCGUCUGCCAGCAGGACCCUCUGCCAGCCCUGAUGGAGGACAUGUCAAAGGACACCGUCUCGCUCACUCUCACCGGAGCCCCGGAUGGGCUUCGGACAUCAAGGAGCUCCGGAGCAGCUCGUAAGGGUGCUCCUCCUCCUCCUUGGCUGCACUCCCCUGAGCCCUGGGUCGCACAGCCAGGACCUGAGAGAGAAGAACACUCAGCACUGCUGUGCCAGAGGCUGUCACCUGGACAGGAGCGACUGCACAGGUGCUGUGGCCACUGGCAAGGGAGAGGAGGCACUGAGUGAGUGCCACGCGGAAUCACAGCUGCUUUCCCGGGCCCACACCUGCUGGGAUCUGCCCUCCGGAGGCUGUGCUGGGCACUGGGCCCCCACUGGCCGGGACUGCAGGUAGCAAACGGUGAGAGGCAGGAUGUGGUACAAGGGGGUCAGGCCAGGCUGGUCCAUGCCUGAUCAAGCCACCCGGGAAUAGAUUUGUGCUGUGCCCCGGAGGUCCAGCUCGCUGGACACUGGACUAGGUCCAGAGCGGGAUGUUACAAAGUGCGGUAGGGCCUCUGCUCUUGCUGUGUAAUAUAUGUGCCAUGCUGUGAGGGGGCCAGGAGCUCUAUUAGCAGCUGAAUGGACGGGGCUUGGGCUUUCUGCCUUCAAAACUGUGAGCUGAAUAAACCUCUUGUCUUUGUAAAGUA